CCCGCUGAACUUAAGCAUAUCAAUAAGCGGAGGAAAAGAAACUAACAAGGAUUCCCCUAGUAACUGCGAGUGAAGCGGGAAAAGCUCAAAUUUGAAAUCUGGCGGCUCCGUCGCCCGAGUUGUAUUCUGGAGAAGCGUCUUCCGCGUCGGACCGUGUACAAGUGCCUUGGAACAGGACGUCAUAGAGAGGUGAGAAUCCCGUCUUUGACACGGACGCCCGAUGCUCUGUGAUGCGCUCUCGAAGAGUAGAGUUGUGCGGGAACUGCAGCUCAAAACGGGUGGUACAUUCCAUCUAAAGCUAAAUAUUGCCGAGAGACCGAUAGCGAACAAGUACCGAGAGGGAAAGAUGAAAAGCACUUUGGAAAGAGAGUAAAACAGUACGUGAAAUUGUUGAAAGGGAAACGCUUGAAGUCAGUCGCGACUGCCGCAACUCAUCCUUGCUUCUGCGUGCUGCACUUUCCGGCCUGACAGGCCAGCAUCGGUUUCGAGCGGCGGACAAUGGCGAGAGGAACGUGGCAGCUCCGGAUGUGUUAUAGACCCGGGUACAUAUACAGUGGUUGGGAUUGAGGAACGCAGCGCGUUAACUGGGGAAUAUCUCCCACAUCAGCGCUUAGGAUGCUGGCUUAAUGGCUUUAAUCGACCCGUCUUGAAACACGG
rnacentral:rRNA from 1 species